rnacentral:tRNA from 1 species
GGCCGGCUGGCCAAAUGGUUAAGGUGUCGGUUUCCGGAGCCGAAGAUUCUGGGUUCGAGUCCCAGGUUGGUCG